GCCUUAGUAACGGCGAGUGAAGCGGCAACAGCUCAAAUUUGAAAGCUGGCUCCUUCGGAGUCCGCAUUGUAAUUUGUAGAGGAUGAUUCGGCGAGGGCUCCCGCCUAAGUCCACUGGAACGUGGCGUCAUAGAGGGUGAGAAUCCCGUAUGCGGUGGGUUGCCUUAGCCAUGUGAAUCUCCUUCGACGAGUCGAGUUGUUUGGGAAUGCAGCUCUAAAUGGGAGGUAAAUUUCUUCUAAAGCUAAAUACCGGCCAGAGACCGAUAGCGCACAAGUAGAGUGAUCGAAAGAUGAAAAGCACUUUGGAAAGAGAGUUAAAAAGUACGUGAAAUUGUUGAAAGGGAAGGGCUUGCAACCAGACUUGUCCGCAGUUGCUCAGCCGGUCUCCUGACCGGCGUACUCUUCUGCGGCCAGGCCAGCAUCAGUUCGGGCGGUCGGAUAAAGACCUAGGGAAUGUAGCUCCUCUCGGGGAGUGUUAUAGCCCUGGGUGGAAUGCGACCAGCCUGGACUGAGGAUCUCGCUUCGGCAAGGAUGCUGGCGUAAUGGUUGUAAGCCGCCCGUCUUGAAACACGGACCAAGGAGUCUAACAUCUAUGCGAGUGUUUGGGUGUCAAACCCAUACGCGUAAUGAAAGUGAACGGAGGUGGGAACCCGCAAGGGCGCACCAUCGGCCGAUCCUGAUGUCUUCGGAUGGAUUUGAGCAAGAGCAUAGCUGUUGGGACCCGAAAGAUGGUGAACUAUGCCUGAAUAGGGUGAAGCCAGAGGAAACUCUGGUGGAGGCUCGCAGCGGUUCUGACGUGCAAAUCGAUCGUCAAAUUUGGGUAUAGGGGCGAAAGACUAAUCGAACCAUCUAGUAGCUGGUUCCUGCCGAA
rnacentral:rRNA from 16 species